UGGAGACAGAGAUACCCAGGUUAGAGAAGGGGAGUGGAGACAGAGAUACGCAGGCUAGAUAAGAGGAGUGGAGACAGAGAUAUGAGGAGUGGAGACAGAGAUAACCAGGAUAGAUAAGGGGAGUGGAGACAGAGAUACCCAGGUUAGAUAAGGGGAGUGGGGACAGAGAUACCCAGGUUAGAUAAGAGGAGUGGAGACAGAGAUACCCAGGCUAGAUAAGAGGAGUGGGGACAGAGAUACCCAGGUAAGAUAAGAGGAGUAGAGACAGAGAUACCCAGGCUAGAUAAGAGGAGUGGAGACAGAGAUACCCAGGCUAGAGAAGAGGAGUGGGGACAGUUAUACCCAGGUUAGAUAAGAGGAGUGGAGACAGAGAUACCCAGGCUAGAGAAGGGGAGUGGGGACAGAGAUACCCAGGCUAGAUAAUAGAUAAGGGAGCAGGGACAGAGAUACCCAGGCUGGAUAAUAGAUAAGGGAGCAGGGACAGGGAUACCCAGGCUAGAUAAUAGAUAAGGGAGCAGGGACAGGAUACCCAGGCUAGAUAAUAGAUAAGGGAGC
ensembl:lncRNA